rnacentral:lncRNA from 13 species
GGCAGAUAAACCAGCAGGCAAAUGAAAUUUAAGUUUCAAGAACCCAGGAGAUCUCAGUCUAGUUCGGGAGAGAAGGUCAACUUGGGGAGAGUUGGAUUCAUAGAAUGACUCAUCUUUAAUAUGGAUUGAACUCCGUUGUCCAGGCAGCCAGCCAUCCAGAAACACAUUGAUACUGUAUAUCUCCUCCUCCAAGUCCAGUAUCAGCGCUUGCAGGAAACAGCUCUGAAACCAGAUACCCAUGGCUCCAAAACCCAAACCCUGAUUACAGUGCCCCUAUUUAGAAGGAAGCUGCUGGAUAACCAACAACGCCCCUCUUCCUUCUAUACUAAAGUAGAAGGUGCCUGUUCUGCUGGACUUUAA